ensembl:rRNA 5S_rRNA 5S ribosomal RNA
UGUGGUGGCCAUACCACAUAGAAUGCACCUGAUCUCAUCAGAUCUUGGAAGCUAAGCAUGGUCAGGCCUGGUUAGUACUUGGAUGGGAAGCCUGGUAGGGACUAUGUGGCCACAAGGU